rnacentral:lncRNA from 1 species
CUCUCCCGGUCCCCACGGCUGCUGCCAGGUGCGGUGACGUCACGGCCGGGGGUCGCGCGCCGACCGCGUCCAGGUGCAGCGAGCGGAUGAGGAAGCGGUGCAGAGGAGCUUGGGCUCGCUCUCCCCCCGGAGGCUCGGAACAGCUUGGGCGGGCGUUUGGUCUGGUUUGUCGCCUCAGAUGGAUCAAAAGGUUUCUGCUGAUAGGCAAAGUUGCCCCACUUUCCGCGGCGGCGACGCGGAGUUACUUUCUGCAGCGAAGCAGCCUCGAGGACCUUAAAGGGAAAAGGCGGACAGAAGGAGGGCGAGCGCACUUGAUUUCGACCUUUAAGGGAGGCCCAGAUGCUGCCAGGCCCCUCAGUUUACCUUGCGAAGUUACUUACGGAUCAGCAGCAUUUGGUCUUCGUCGGGUGAGGGAGAAACCUAGGCAUCAAAUAAAUUCUGUUUCACAGAUUCCUUUAGUCUCUUGUCAGCUGAAUGCAACUUUAUAAUUUGCUUUUUUUCUUUUUAAAGUAUAAUUUGAGUUGUUACUUGAUCGAGAGAAAAAUAGGCAUCAUGAUUUGAAAUACUGCCAGGCAUUUUUUCUAGCGUCAAUGUGAAGGAGGGCAUAGGAUUACUAUAGUCAGUCAAACAUGAGCUUGGUAGUUACGAAGAAGUAUAAUUAUUUCAGCAAGCUUUUUUUCCCCCUUCUGUUUAAGUAGACCCAAUUCCAGGGCAGAUGUGUGUGUGAGCGUUUGUUGAACGCCAACUAUUGUGCCUAGUGCUUUUUCAAGAAAUUUUGUAAUUCUCAGUCAUCCAGCACUGAAACUGACUUGCCCUUUGGAUCCAGGCAGACAUGGGUCCUUGAAACUCAGCACAGCCAUUUACUUUUUGUGGGACCUUGGAUAAAUUAACCUGUCUGAACUUCAAUUUCUUGAGUAUGUUCAAACAAAUCUUGCAAUGCAGAGCACAGUGGCCCAUAGUAGUAACCUUGGACGUAUCCAUUACCACUAUUUCCUAUAGGCCUGCUUUUGCCAUCUUUUAAUUCUUCUAAUGCUUCUCAAAAGGUUACAUGUGGUAAUUUUAUAACAAGAAUGAUCAAACUCACAAACAGCAGCCAAAAAGGAUAAAAGAAAAAAGUUGAAUAUACUCACCUAAACAAGAUUACAUUGACAUCAUGGAACAUGUGCCUUUUUUAGGUAACAAAUAUGUGUUCAGCAUUAUGUUCGUUGUCCCCUACCAAGCAAAAAAAUAAAAAGCUAAAGUACAGCGCUAAUCCUCAGAGAUUUUGCAUUCUUCUAGGGGGGUGAGAUACGAACACAAAGUUAAUUAACAGUAUGAGGUAGUGAGGGUCAAAUGCUUGAGAAUUUAAAGGAAAAUAAAUUACUGUGGGCAAAGCAAGCUGUAAAGAGAAGGUAUGAGUUGAACGAAAGCUUGGGGAAGGCAAUAAUUCAGUCUGGAGGAGUCCUAGAACUGAGGAAUGGAAGUGGAUAUGCAAACAGAGUAUUUCUGAGCCUUUAAGAAAUGUGUGUGGCUCAAGCAGCCCAUAAGGAAGGCCAUUUACGAUUUGGAAGAAUGAGGCUGGUGAUGGGCUAAGAAGGAUUCAUGAAAGGAGACAAAAAUAUAAGCUAUUGGAAGCACAUACAUAGGUAGUAAAUUCAAGGCCCAGAGCCCUUAAGUUUCUAGAGACUAAAUUUCUAGGUCUCUAGAAUCCUUAAUAUUUAAAGAAGAAAGGCCAAUGAAUAGAAUGGAAAAGAAGUUAAGUAAAACAGAAGGGGGAAUAAAGACUAUCAGAUUUGAUAAUAAGGGCAUCUUUGAAAAUAUAAUUUCAGAAUAUAUAUAAUAGAAUAUAUAAUAUAUAACUACAUAUUCAGAAUAUAUAUAUAAUAGAAAAUUCAGAUUAAAGGUUUUAUCAAUUGAAUGAUAAGGAAGUGGAGGCCACAGAUAAGGUAGAUAUUUUCUGAGAAGUCAGGUCACAUGAUCUGACAACAAGAUAAAACAUUUACAAUCAUUUAUGUCCUAGAAAUUCCAGGAUCUUCACACUUGUAAUCCCAGCAAUUUGGGAGGCCAAGGGAGGAGGAGCACUUGAACCCAGGAGUUUGAGACCAGCCUGGGCAACAUAGCAAGACUCCAUCUCUACAAAAAAAAAAAAAAAAAAAAUACAAAAAUUAGCCCAGGUAUGGUGGCACAGGCCUGCGGUCUCAACUACUUGGGAGGCGGAAGUGAGAGGAUCACCUGAGUCCAGGGCCGUCGAGGCUGCAGUGAACUGUGAUCCUGCCACUGCACUCCACCCAGCCUGGAUG